rnacentral:lncRNA from 1 species
GGAGGAAUGCUACUAUAUGUAUUUAAUCAAGGAGAAGAUUUCGAUGGGGGCACACCUGGGAAGGGGGGUACAGGAAGGAAAGGGAAUGGUGGAAGAGGAAAUGGGAAGUCUGGUGGUGGAGACGGGGACGAUGGUGGAGGAGUUAGUCCUGGAACCGGCGGCAAGGAUGGUGCUGCAGGUGCUGGAGGAGGCUGCAAUGGGUCUGGAACUAGUGGAGCUGGUGGAGGCUGCAAUGGGUUUGGAACUAGUGGAGCUGGUGGCGGCUGAAAUGGGUUUGGAGGGAGCGCUGGGGGUGGCAGAAGCGGGUUUGGAGGAAGAAUGGGCGGCGGUAGAAGUGGGUUUGGAGGAAGAAUGGGCGGCGGAAGAAGCUGGUUGGGAUGAACACUUGGUUUUUGGCUGCAUAAG